AUUGAACGCUGGCGGCAUGCUUUACACAUGCAAGUCGAACGGCAGCGCGGGCUUCGGCCUGGCGGCGAGUGGCGAACGGGUGAGUAAUGCAUCGGAACGUGCCCAGUCGUGGGGGAUAGCCCGGCGAAAGCCGGAUUAAUACCGCAUACGAACUGUGGGUGAAAACGGGGGACCGAAAAACCUUGCGAUAUUUGAGCGACCGAUGGCGGUUUAGCUAGCUGGUGGGGUAAAUGCUUACCAAGGCGACGAUCCGUAGCUGGUCGGAGAGGACGACCAGCCACACUGGGAGGGAGACACGGCCCAGGCUCCUACGGGAGGCAGCAGUGGGGAAUUGUGGGCAAUGGGGGCAAACCUGAUCCAGCCAUGCCGCGUGCGGGAAGAAGGCCUUCUGGUUGUAAACCGCUUUUGUUCGGGAAGAAAUCCUCUGGGCUAAUACACCGGGGGGAUGACGGUACCGGAAGAAUAAGCACCGGCUAACUACGUG
rnacentral:rRNA from 1 species